UACGGGGGGGUAAGCGUUGUUCGGAAUUACUGGGCGUAAAGGGCUCGUAGGCGGCCAACUAAGUCGGACGUGAAAUCCCUCGGCUCAACUGAGGAACUGCCUUUGAAACUGUCAGACUUGAGGCCGGGAGGGGUAGCGGAAUUCCCAGUGUAGCGGUGAAAUGCGUAGAUACUGGGAGGAACACCGGUGGCGAAGGCGGCUACCUGGACCGGUUCUGACGCUGAUGCGCGAAGCGUGGGAUAGCAACAAGGAGUUAAGAAACCCUUGAUACGUCC
rnacentral:rRNA from 1 species